rnacentral:rRNA from 1 species
UCGUGCGGUGCAGCGUCCAGCUUGCUGGAGUGGAUCAGUGGCGAACGGGUGAGUAACACGUGAGCAACCUGCCCCAAACUCUGGAAUAAGCGCUGGAAACGGCGUCUAAUACUGGAUACGAGACCAACCUGCAUGGGUAUGGUUUGGAAAGUUUUUCGGUUUGGGAUGGGCUCGCGGCCUAUCAGCUUGUUGGUGAGGUAAUGGCUCACCAAGGCGACGACGGGUAGCCGGCCUGAGAGGGCGACCGGCCACACUGGGACUGAGACACGGCCCAGACUCCUACGGGAGGCAGCAGUGGGGAAUAUUGCACAAUGGGCGAAAGCCUGAUGCAGCGACGCCGCGUGAGGGAUGACGGCCUUCGGGUUGUAAACCUCUUUCAGCAGGGAAGAAGCGAAAGUGACGGUACCUGCAGAAGAAGCACCGGCUAACUACGUGCCAGCAGCCGCGGUAAUACGUAGGGUGCGAGCGUUGUCCGGAAUUAUUGGGCGUAAAGAGCUUGUAGGCGGUUUGUCGCGUCUGCUGUGAAAAUCCGGGGCUCAACCCCGGACUUGCAGUGGGUACGGGCAGACUAGAGUGUGGUAGGGGAGACUGGAAUUCCUGGUGUAGCGGUGAAAUGCGCAGAUAUCAGGAGGAAC